GCUAAGUGAUUAUAAGUUAUGUUCUUUAAAAUUAAAAAAUUUGGCGGUAUUUUAGUCUUUUCAGAGGAAUCUGUUCUAUAAUCGAUAGUCCACGAUUAGAAGAUACUUUUGUUUUAAAUUUGCAUAUCGUUGUAGUUUGAGUAUUUUAGGAGAAAUUGGAAUAUUCAAUAAUUUCUAUUAGAGUUAAAAUCAAAUCAAGGUGUAGUUUAUAUAAAAGAAGAAAUGGAUUACAAUAAUUGAUAUAAUUAAGGAUAAUUUUUUUUAUGAAAAUUUGAAUUUGGAUUUGAAAGUAAUUUUAUUAAUU
rnacentral:rRNA from 1 species